GAUGAACGCUGGCGGCGUGCUUAACACAUGCAAGUCGAACGAAGCAUUUGCGACAGAUUUUUUCGGAAUGAAGUUGCUUAUGACUGAGUGGCGGACGGGUGAGUAACGCGUGGGUAACCUGCCUUGUACUGGGGGAUAGCAGCUGGAAACGGCUGGUAAUACCGCAUAAGCGCACAAUGUUGCAUGACAUGGUGUGAAAAACUCCGGUGGUAUAAGAUGGACCCGCGUCUGAUUAGCUAGUUGGUGAGAUAACAGCCCACCAAGGCGACGAUCAGUAGUCGACCUGAGAGGGUGACCGGCCACAUUGGGACUGAGACACGGCCCAGACUCCUACGGGAGGCAGCAGUGGGGAAUAUUGCACAAUGGAGGAAACUCUGAUGCAGCGACGCCGCGUGAGUGAAGAAGUAAUUCGUUAUGUAAAGCUCUAUCAGCAGGGAAGAUAGUGACGGUACCUGACUAAGAAGCUCCGGCUAAAUACGUG
rnacentral:rRNA from 1 species